rnacentral:lncRNA from 12 species
UUUAUUACGGAUUUCCUGUCAUUUCGUCGGUCGCUAGCCCCUGUGGGAAGUGGUGCGCAGGAGGGCCAGAGGUUGAGAGAAAAGGCCCAUUGAAGAGAACCGUCCGCCCCCCCCCCCCCCCCCGUCCCGGUUUUCAGAAAACCUGGCCCCUUUUGAAUUCCCUGGGCAAAUUUCCAUUCGCAGGUUAAAAUCAGGGCUCUUUGUUUCCCCCCGGGCCUUCCCUUUUUCUGUACUCAGGAGGCAGGGCAUGCAACAAAUGUCGAUUGAAUUACUGAAUGAAUCUGCUGCCUCUUUGGGCAUAUGGUGUGGGAAUUACAUUGAAAUGAUAAAAUCAACAGUGAUCCUUGAAAGGAGCAAGAGCCACAGUACUCCUAAACUAGCAGGAAUGGUGAGAUGUGUCUGAAAACCCUGAAGCACCUUUUCGAAGGAGAAGUUAUUUUUAUAAGCUGUUUUAACAGUGGAUCAUCAGUCACUUUGAAGGGAAGUGAUCCUUGAUUAACAGUUGGCUGAUAUUGUGCUUCCACAGAUGUGUAGCAGCAAUACAGGUGCUACCUAUGAAACAGGACAGAGGUUUCUCACUGGCCAGCACUAUGAAGGUUGAUGGCAUGAUCAUUCACUCCACAUCAAAGGAUAUCUACUCAUCAGUGUGCUGUUGUCAGUCAGAGGUUUCCAAAUAUUGUUCUCCAACUCAAAGAAAAGUAGCUGGAUCCAGGCAGAAAGGUGUCUGGGAACUCCUUUACUGUGCAGGGUGUGUCUCCAGAGAAAGCUGCUUCAGCAUUCUUCUCGGGUCUUUGUUUUCGGAAUACUUUUCCCUACAGUAUUCUCCAGACUCUAAAAUACUAGAAUAGUUCCCAAGUUCAUCCAGAUCUUCCCCAUGUUUGAAUUCUGGGUCCUUUUCUCACCCCCUGGCUUACAUGUAGAUAAAAGAAACAACAAUAAAGGAAUAAAAAUUGUUUGUUUCUGUCUGACU